rnacentral:rRNA from 1 species
AGAGUUUGAUCCUGGCUCAGGAUGAACGCUGGCGGCGUGCCUAACACAUGCAAGUCGAACGGAGUUCUUAAGGAAUGCGACUUCGGUCAAAUGACUUUUGAACUUAGUGGCGGACGGGUGAGUAACGCGUGAGCAACCUGCCUUUCAGAGGGGGAUAACAUUUGGAAACAGAUGCUAAUACCGCAUAAGAUUACAGUACCGCAUGAUACAGUGAUCAAAGGAGCAAUCCGCUGAAAGAUGGGCUCGCGUCCGAUUAGAUAGUUGGUGAGGUAACGGCUCACCAAGUCGACGAUCGGUAGCCGGACUGAGAGGCUGAACGGCCACAUUGGGACUGAGACACGGCCCAGACUCCUACGGGAGGCAGCAGUGGGGAAUAUUGCACAAUGGGCGAAAGCCUGAUGCAGCAACGCCGCGUGAGGGAAGACGGUUUUCGGAUUGUAAACCUCUGUUUUCGGUGACGAAUAAAUGACGGUAACCGAGUAGGAAGCCACGGCUAACUACGUGCCAGCAGCCGCGGUAAUACGUAGGUGGCAAGCGUUAUCCGGAAUUACUGGGUGUAAAGGGAGCGCAGGCGGGAUAGCAAGUCAGCUGUGAAAACUAUGGGCUCAACCCAUAAACUGCAGUUGAAACUGUUAUUCUUGAGUGGAGUAGAGGCAAGCGGAAUUCCGAGUGUAGCGGUGAAAUGCGUAGAUAUUCGGAGGAACACCAGUGGCGAAGGCGGCUUGCUGGGCUCUAACUGACGCUGAGGCUCGAAAGUGUGGGGAGCAAACAGGAUUAGAUACCCUGGUAGUCCACACUGUAAACGAUGAUUGCUAGGUGUGGGGGGUCUGACCCC